AACGAACGCUGGCGGCAGGCCUAACACAUGCAAGUCGAGCGCUCACUUCGGGGGGAGCGGCGGACGGGUGAGUAACGCGUGAGAAACCUGCCCUAUACAGGGGGAUAGCCAUUGGAAACGAUGAUUAAUACCCCAUAUGACCACAGUAUCGCAUGAUACAGCGGUGAAAACUCCGGUGGUAUAGGAUGGUCUCGCGUCUGAUUAGCUAGUUGGUGGGGUAACGGCCUACCAAGGCGACGAUCAGUAGCCGGCCUGAGAGGGUGACCGGCCACACUGGAACUGAGACACGGUCCAGACUCCUACGGAGGCAGCAGUGGGGAAUAUUGCACAAUGGGCGAAAGCCUGAUGCAGCGACGCCGCGUGAACGAUGAAGGCUUUCGAGUCGUAAAGUUCUGUUCUUGGGGAAGAUAACGACGGUACCCAAGGAGAAAGCACCGGCUAAAUACGUGCCAGCCGCCGCGGUA
rnacentral:rRNA from 1 species